GACGAACGCUGGCGGCGUGCUUAACACAUGCAAGUCGAACGGUGAGGCCCCUCCCUUGUUGGGGGCUCGGGUGGAGAACGGAAGAGUAAAGCAAGAGUAGCCUGCCCUUGCCUUUGGUAUAACAUCACGACACUAGGGCGUAUCCAAUAUAGGAUAUCCUGCUGCUUUGGCGGGGUUGGAAAGGUUCGGCGGUUGGGUCUGGGCUCGCGGCGCAUCAGCGUGUUGGUGGGGUAGUGGCUUACAAAGGCUUUGACGGGUAGCCGGCCUGAGAGGGUGACCGGCCACAUUGGGACUGAGACACGGCCCAGACGCCUACGGGAUGGAGCAGUGGGGAAUAGUGCACUAUGGGCGGAAGCCGUAUGCAGCGACGCCGCGUGCGUGAUGACGGCCUUCGGGUUGUAAACCGCUUUCGCCUGUGAUGAAGCUGGAGUGACGGUAAUGGGUAAAGAAGCACCGGCUAACUACGUG
rnacentral:rRNA from 1 species